UACGGGGGGGGCAAGCGUUGUUCGGAAUUACUGGGCGUAAAGGGCUCGUAGGCGGCUCCUUAAGUCAGACGUGAAAUCCCUCGGCUUAACCGGGGAACUGCGUCUGAGACUGAAGAGCUUGAAUCCGGGAGAGGGAUGCGGAAUUCCAGGUGUAGCGGUGAAAUGCGUAGAUAUCUGGAGGAACACCGGUGGCGAAGGCGGCAUCCUGGACCGGUAUUGACGCUGAGGAGCGAAAGCCAGGGGA
rnacentral:rRNA from 1 species